rnacentral:lncRNA from 10 species
GCGCCCCGCAGGAGCCUCCUCCUCCCGCCGGCGCGGCGCCUGUGCCCUGGUCCCGGUGUCCCCGCUCGGUGCCACCGAAGGAUCUAGGGGCUCGGGCCGGGGAGGGGGUGGAGGGGGGAGUGGAGGCGCGAUACGAACCCGUGGGAGCCUCCCCAACCCCGCAGUCCCAGCGGCAAACUGUGCUUGGUCGGACGGAUGCCCGCGCGGAGGGGUAGCCACGGGAGUGCCUCCGCCCAUGACAGCAGUGUGCAGGAAGCUGACCUGGAGCUGGGAAGCCGGGAGAAGGCACGUGGGGUUCCACCUAGAUAAACCCCAAAAAGACAGCUCCAGUGAGGGACUAGCAAACCUGAGACCAGUGGGCGUCGGCCUCGAAGUCGUAGCGCACGAACACCCCGAAGAGAAUCACCAUAAUCACCUGCAGGAGCAGGCAGAGAAACACGGGGAUCAUUGGCCUCCCAGUGAGAUCAGAAGGAAUUCCCAGACCUAAGUCAUCAUCAUCAACAUCAUCAUCAUCUGCCAUCAUCAUCUGCAUCAUCAUCUGUCCUUUCUUUUUCUGAUUAUGAAAUUCAUACAGGGCACAUGAGAAACAAGGAAUGUUUGGGACACUGUCACACAACAGAGCGGCCUGGGGAGACAUCUGUGAUGUGCUACCCCAGACUUGACCCUGGAACAGAAAAAGGAUGUUAAUUGGAAAACUGGUAAAAUCCAAAUAAAGCCUGAAAAUUAGUUAAUAGUGACGUUCCCAUGUUGUUUUCUUAGUUGGGACAAAUGUCAUGGUUAUGUAAAAUGUUAACAGUAGGAUAAACUGAGUAAGGGCUAUAUGGGGACUGUCUUUGCCACUUUUCUGUAAAUCUAAAAUUAUUCCAAAAUACAAGGGUUUUAAGAAAAAAAACACGUAUAAAGGAUUGUAAGAACAAUUUAAGAGUUUUUCACAAGUUCAUUGGUCCAUAGUCAGGAACUGUCUUCUGGUUAAGAUCUGUGAUCUUGACAUGAGUUAACCAUAAUAUUUAGGUCUGGGAAUUCCUUCUGAUCUCACUGGGAGGCCAAUGAUCCCCAUGUUUCUCUGUUCAGCAGUAUAACAGUCUGUAUAUUGUCUGCUUAGUCUGUAUAUUGUCAAAAUAAAUUUGAUUUUCUAAUUUUUCUUUAAAAAUACAGAGAUAAUUGUAGAGAUUUGGAAAAUACAGAAAAACACAAAGAAGAAAGUAAAAAUCACUCAUAAUCCCACCACCCAGAGGCAAUACUAAUAUUUUGGUGUAUGUACUCUAGUCUUUUCCUAGCUCAUUGAAGAGGGGCUGGAGGGGAGCAGGGGGAGUGUUUCAAACGAUCAUACUAAUUUAUAGCGUUUUUAACUCCUUUCAUAUUUUGUAAACACCUUCCCAUAUUAUACUUCUACAACUUUUUUUCUUUUUCUUUUUCUUUUUUAUUUAUUUAUUUUUUUGAGAUAGGGUCUUGCUCUGAUGCCCAGGCUGGAGGGCAGUGGCUUGAUCAUGGUUCACUGCUGCCUUGACCUCCUGGGCUCAAGUGAUCCUCCCACUUCAGCCUCCCAAUUAGCUGAAACCACA